GUCUCAUUCUGCAUGGCACUGCAAGCCCUGCCCCUCUCAGGCUGCAGGCAUUGCUAUUGGACUGAGUUCUAGAUGGACAGGCAUUUCCUCCAGUAGCAAGAGACCGCUGGACAGCCCAGGGUCAGCAGCACACGUCUCCAGCUGUCUCUCUCGACAGGUGCUCUAAGGUGGGAGGACUGGACUAGGCCAGGGGGUUGGUAGUUGUUUUUGUUAUUUAGCCAUGUGUUUAUGCUGUUAUGAUGUCCCAGGCUUUGUGUUGAUCCUCUGUUUUGAGGUUUAUGUUGUUUUGUUGUGUGUAUUGUUUUGUUGAUAUUGUGUUGUCCUGUCUCUAGGUGUUGCCUCUGUUGGUAGAGCAGCUGCAGCAGGUCUCUGCAUCAUCAGACCCCUCUGUCACCCUGUCCCUGAUCAAGUUUAUAUAAUGGAGCCUGAGAGAGAUAGACAACAGCACACAGGGUAUCUGUCUGAGCUCCGGCCUGCGCGCACCACUGAGGACUUUUUCCAUACAGCAGCUGUUCUUGUGAAUAGCCCCCCAGACUAGAACUUCCUCUUCUGGAGAAAGUCUCCAUCAUCCUCCAGAAACUCCCUAAGAUCAGGAAGAACAGAUGGCUGUUUGAACUCUGCUCUCUCCAUCUGCUGCUGCAGAUACCUACCUACCUACCUACCUACCUACCUACCUACCUACUUACCUACACACACACACACACACACACACACACACACACACACACACACACACACACACACACACACACACACACACACACACACCUAUUGAAGUGGUGGCUUUUUAUUUUUUGUCCAAUUUUGUCAUUUGUUUUGAUAUGAUCUUAACAUUUAUAUUCUAUCCAACCAUACAUCAUUUUCAACCUAUAUGCCAUCUGCUAUGAAAUGAGCAUCAUGUUGGGAUUGGCUAUAAUGUGUGUCUAAUGCAUUCUGAGGUACAGAUGAUUUCACUAGGAUGCAAUAAACAAAGAGAUGACGGAAACAGUGUUUGACUCCUCUGUCAUAUAAUUAUGAGAUACAUGUGUUUUAUAUGAGUCUCAUGUGUUUUAUAUAAGCCUGUUUGUUUGUUAUGGACUGAAGCUGAAAAUUAGAACCUGAGUUUUCUAACCAGUCCAGAAUGUUUCUGUGUGGUAAUGGUGAAGAGAACAUCACACAGACAUGUCAUAUCUGAUCUCUCCUCUUGAAAGAGCCCUGCAAGUCCAUGUUGAAUAAAAUUCAACUUACUAUGCUGCUCGUUGGGUGUUGGUUCCUGUUUAGGUCACUCCUUGUUUACAGGUUUGCCUAUGACUAUACAGACUUUUCUAAAAUGUUGGUCUGACGGUUUGUUUCUUCAUCACCUCACAUCGAGAAAAAAAAAAGUCCUGCAUAAGUGUGUGCCUGCAUAAGAACAGCAUGCGCAAGUGAGUGCUGCAGAACAGUCUUGUGGGGGUGCUGGUACCAGUUAGUUUAAUAAGGCUCUGUAACGGUCCUAAACACUCCUUACUGCUUCAGGACCUGUCACUAACUGAUUUAUCAACUUUCAUUACUCACUA
rnacentral:lncRNA from 1 species